ensembl:snoRNA U3 Small nucleolar RNA U3
AAGACUGUGCUUUUAGCAGUAGUUUGGUACUAGAGAAGUUUCUCUCCACGUGUAGAGCAGCGGGAGCUCGUGGACUAGGUGCGGUGCCCUCUCCGGAGCGAGCAGCAGGCUCUGGGCGUUGCUUCCGGAACUGUUGCCAUUGACGACCCUUUUUCCCUUCCUGAUGAUCGUUCUUCUCUUCCUGUGGGAGAGUGAGGGGAAAAGUUGCCAUCUGAGUGGG